UACAGAGGAUGCGAGCGUUGUUCGGAAUUAUUGGGCGUAAAGGGCGCGUAGGCGGUGCGGUAAGUCACCUGUGAAAUCUCCUGGCUCAACUGGGAGCUUGCAGGCGAAACUGCCGUGCUGGAGUGUGGGAGAGGUGCGUGGAAUUCCCGGUGUAGCGGUGAAAUGCGUAGAUAUCAGGAGGAACACCGGUGGCGAAGGCGGAUCCCUGGGCCAUUACUGACGCUGAGGAGCGAAAGCGUGGGGAGCGAACAGG
rnacentral:rRNA from 1 species